rnacentral:rRNA from 1 species
GACGUAGGGUGCGAGCGUUGUCCGGAUUUAUUGGGCGUAAAGAGCUCGUAGGCGGCUCGUCGCGUCGACCGUGAAAACCCGCGGGCUUUAACUGCGGGCUUGCGGGUUGAUACGGGCGGGCUAAGAGUUCGGUAGGGGGAGACUGGAAUUCCUGGUGUAGCGGUGAAAUGCGCAGAGUAUCAGGAGGAACACCGACGGCGAAAGGCAGCACUCUGGGCCGGUACUGACGCUGAGGAGCGAAAGCAUGGGGAGCGAACAGG